rnacentral:rRNA from 1 species
AGUGGCGCACGGGUGCGUAACGCGUGGGAACCUGCCCUUAGGUUCGGAAUAACUCAGAGAAAUUUGAGCUAAUACCGGAUAAUGUCUUCGGACCAAAGAUUUAUCACCUUUGGAUGGGCCCGCGUUGGAUUAGCUAGUUGGUGGGGUAAAGGCCUACCAAGGCGACGAUCCAUAGCUGGUCUGAGAGGAUGAUCAGCCACACUGGGACUGAGACACGGCCCAGACUCCUACGGGAGGCAGCAGUGGGGAAUAUUGGACAAUGGGCGAAAGCCUGAUCCAGCAAUGCCGCGUGAGUGAUGAAGGCCUUAGGGUUGUAAAGCUCUUUUACCAGGGAUGAUAAUGACAGUACCUGGAGAAUAAGCUCCGGCUAACUCCGUGCCAGCAGCCGCGGUAAUACGGAGGGAGCUAGCGUUGUUCGGAAUUACUGGGCGUAAAGCGCACGUAGGCGGCUUUUUAAGUCAGGGGUGAAAUCCCGGGGCUCAACCCCGGAACUGCCCUUGAAACUGGGAAGCUAGAAUCUUGGAGAGGCGAGUGGAAUUCCGAGUGUAGAGGUGAAAUUCGUAGAUAUUCGGAAGAACACCAGUGGCGAAGGCGACUCGCUGGACAAGUAUUGACGCUGAGGUGCGAAAGCGCGGGGAGCAAACAGGAUUAGAUACCCUGGUAGUCCACGCCGUAAACGAUGAUAACUAGCUGUC